rnacentral:rRNA from 1 species
CAGUCGCCGCGGUAAUACGAGGGGGGCAAGCGUUGUUCGGAAUUAUUGGGCGUAAAGGGCGCGUAGGCGGUUUGGCAAGUUUGGUGUGAAAUCUUCGGGCUCAACUCGAAGUCUGCAUCGAAAACCGCCGGGCUUGAGUAUGGGAGAGGUGAGUGGAAUUUCCGGUGUAGCGGUGAAAUGCGUAGAUAUCGGAAGGAACGCCUGUGGCGAAAGCGGCUCACUGGACCAUUACUGACGCUGAGGCGCGAAAGCUAGGGGAGCAAACAGGAUUAGAUACCCCAGUAGUCCCUGUCUCUUAUAC